rnacentral:rRNA from 1 species
AUUGAACGCUGGCGGCAGGCCUAACACAUGCAAGUCGAACGGUAACAGGAAGAAGCUUGCUUCUUUGCUGACGAGUGGCGGACGGGUGAGUAAUGUCUGGGAAACUGCCUGAUGGAGGGGGAUAACUACUGGAAACGGUAGCUAAUACCGCAUAAUGUCGCAAGGCCAAAGAGGGGGACCUUCGGGCCUCUUGCCAUCGGAUGUGACCAGAUGGGAUUAGCUAGUAGGUGGGGUAACGGCUCACCUAGGCGACGAUCCCUAGCUGGUCUGAGAGGAUGACCAGCCACACUGGAACUGAGACACGGUCCAGACUCCUACGGGAGGCAGCAGUGGGGAAUAUUGCACAAUGGGCGCAAGCCUGAUGCAGCUAUGCCGCGUGUAUGAAGAAGGCCUUCGGGUUGUAAAGUACUUUCAGCGGGGAGGAAGGGAGUAAAGUUAAUACCUUUGCUCAUUGACGUUACCCGCAGAAGAAGCACCGGCUAACUCCGUG